UCUCUCUCUCUCUCUCUCUCUCUCUCUCUCUCUCUCUCUCUCUCUCUCUCUCUCUCUCUCUCUCUCUCUCUCUCUCUUCGUUGUUUUUCAUCAGAACCCACCUACCUUCAUUUUCUUAUUCAAAAUCCUUCACCUGCAACUUCUUCAUCAUCCCCAGAAAGAAAUCGAAAAAUACAGUUAGAUUUAGGGUUCUUCAAUUAAUAGAACACCCUUUUGAUUUCUUUCUUCAAUCAGUAUAAGAAAACAAUAUAACAGAUCCAAUUAGAUUUAUUGUUCCUAAUUUCUUUCUUCAAUCAGAAACAAAAUUUGCAGACCAACCUUUCCCCUAUAAAAAACCACGACGCCGACCUCUCUGUUCUCUUUCUGUAACCAUUGAGCUGCCAAUGGAGGAAGAGAAGUCCGGUGGUAAAGGCAGUGGUGGUCAUGGCAAUCUGCCGGAGUUUGACAGCCUCCCGAAGAUGGGAUUAUUUCUCAGCUUGGUUUUCAGAUCUGAUUCGUCACCACCACCUAUAGUAAAUUGAAUAGGUUAAGAGUUUCAGGAUAGCUUCGAUUGGUCAAUUUCUGUGUCCUAUUUUUGUUCAUGAAUCUUGAUGUGAUAAAAGGAAUUUUGUGUGUGUGUGUGUGGGUGUGUGUAUGUGUUUGGAGGGUUGAACACAUAUACACACAAAUGGUUUACAAUGAUAAUCGUUUUUUAGAGUUUUUUCCUCUUUCUGCUUCUGGUUCUCAAGUUGCAGGUGGAUCUGCGAUGGCAAGAUUAAGACUAAGGGUUCAGAUGGUGGUCGAUUUGGAGGUUGAAUCGGUGCUGGUGGAGGAAUAUUAGUGAGGAACAAGUUCAAGAAGAAGAUGAUGGGAGUGUUUCACGACUGAAAAUCGAAGGGGAGAUAACUGGGGUUGAUUUGUUGGAGAUAGGAGGGUGAAGGGAUGGGUGUUUGGUGGUCCUGCACAACCGGAGGGAGGCAGGGAGGGGCUGCGAAGGUGGUGGUCGGCAAUUUUGUCUACACGAUUUAGUACUGAACACAAUGUUUGGUACUAAACAUAUAUGAAUGUAACCACUAGUCAUGCAUAUCAAAUACAUGCAAUGAUAUUAUGUUCACAAAUGAAUAUUUAUUCAAAGUCGUAGAAAUUGAUUAUGUUCGGUAA